rnacentral:tRNA from 1 species
GGGCUCGUAGCUCAGCUAGGUAGAGCGAUGGGCUCUUAACCCAUUGGUCGCGGGUUCAAGUCCCGUCGGGCCCGCCA